rnacentral:ncRNA from 1 species
AAAGUGGGGGGCUUGUAAACAGGCUGAGAGGAGGGUGUGACCCUCGACCCGGAAACCUGAUUUGGAUAAUGCCAACGUAGGGAAGCGAA